AUUGAACGCUGGCGGCAUGCCUUACACAUGCAAGUCGAACGGCAGCACGGGGCAACCUGGUGGCGAGUGGCGAACGGGUGAGUAAUGCAUCGGAACGUACCUUUCAGUGGGGGAUAACUUAGCGGAAGUUACGCUAAUACCGCAUAUUCUGUGAGCAGGAAAGCAGGGGAUCGCAAGACCUUGCGCUGAUUGAGCGGCCGAUGUCAGAUUAGCUAGUUGGUGAGGUAAAGGCUCACCAAGGCAACGAUCUGUAGCGGGUCUGAGAGGAUGAUCCGCCACACUGGAACUGGGACACGGUCCAGACUCCUACGGGAGGCAGCAGUGGGGAAUUUUGGACAAUGGGGGCAACCCUGAUCCAGCCAUGCUGCGUGAGUGAAGAAGGCCUUCGGGUUGUAAAGCUCUUUCGGCCGGGAAGAAAUCGCACGGGCUAAUACCCUGUGUGGAUGACGGUACCGGAAUAAGAAGCACCGGCUAACUACGUGCCAGCCGCCGCAGUAAUAC
rnacentral:rRNA from 1 species